GAUGAACGCUGGCGGCGUGCUUAACACAUGCAAGUCGAACGGUGAACACGGAGCUUGCUCUGUGGGAUCAGUGGCGAACGGGUGAGUAACACGUGAGCAACCUGCCCCUGACUCUGGGAUAAGCGCUGGAAACGGCGUCUAAUACUGGAUAUGUGACGUGACCGCAUGGUCUGCGUUUGGAAAGAUUUUUCGGUUGGGGAUGGGCUCGCGGCCUAUCAGCUUGUUGGUGAGGUAAUGGCUCACCAAGGCGUCGACGGGUAGCCGGCCUGAGAGGGUGACCGGCCACAAUGGGACUGAGACACGGCCCAGGCUCCUACGGGAGGCAGCAGUGGGGAAUAUUGCACAAUGGGCGCAAGCCUGAUGCAGCAACGCCGCGUGAGGGAUGACGGCCUUCGGGUUGUAAACCUCUUUUAGCAGGGAAGAAGCGAAAGUGACGGUACCUGCAGAAAAAGCGCCGGCUAACUACGUG
rnacentral:rRNA from 1 species